rnacentral:rRNA from 1 species
UACGUAGGGGGCAAGCGUUGUCCGGAUUUAUUGGGCGUAGAGAGCGUGUAGGCGGCUAUACAGGUCCGUUGUGAAAACUCGAGGCUCAACCUCGAGACGCCGAUGGAAACCGUAUGGCUAGAGUCCGGAAGAGGUGAGUGGAAUUCCUGGUGUAGCGGUGAAAUGCGCAGAUAUCAGGAGGAACACCAAUGGCGAAGGCAGCUCACUGGGACGGUACUGACGCUGAGACGCGAAAGCGUGGGGAGCAAACAGG